CCUACGGGCGGCAGCAGUGAGGAAUAUUGGUCAAUGGACGGAAGUCUGAACCAGCCAUGCCGCGUGCAGGAAGACGGCUCUAUGAGUUGUAAACUGCUUUUGUACAAGGGUAAACCUGAAUACGUGUAUUCAGCUGACAGUACUGUACGAAUAAGGAUCGGCUAACUCCGUGCCAGCAGCCGCGGUAAUACGGAGGAUCCAAGCGUUAUCCGGAUUUAUUGGGUUUAAAGGGUGCGUAGGCGGAUUGGUAAGUUAGAGGUGAAAUGUCCGAGCUUAACUCGGGAACUGCCUCUAAUACUGUUGGUCUAGAGAGUAGAUGCGGUAGGCGGAAUGUAUGGUGUAGCGGUGAAAUGCUUAGAGAUCAUACAGAACACCGAUUGCGAAGGCAGCUUACCAAUCUAUAUCUGACGUUGAGGCACGAAAGCGUGGGGAGCAAACAGGAUUAGAUACCCGGGUAGUC
rnacentral:rRNA from 1 species